rnacentral:rRNA from 1 species
AUUGAACGCUGGCGGCAGGCUUAACACAUGCAAGUCGAGCGGGGUGAUGGUGCUUGCACUAUCACUUAGCGGCGGACGGGUGAGUAAUGCUUAGGAAUCUGCCUAUUAGUGGGGGACAACAUCUCGAAAGGGAUGCUAAUACCGCAUACGUCCUACGGGAGAAAGCAGGGGAUCACUUGUGACCUUGCGCUAAUAGAUGAGCCUAAGUCGGAUUAGCUAGUUGGUGGGGUAAAGGCCUACCAAGGCGACGAUCUGUAGCGGGUCUGAGAGGAUGAUCCGCCCAACUGGGACUGAGACACGGCCCAGACUCCGACGGGAGGCAGCAGUGGGGAAUAUUGGACAAUGGGGGGAACCCUGAUCCAGCCAUGCCGCGUGUGUGAAGAAGGCCUUAUGGUUGUAAAGCACUUUAAGCGAGGAGGAGGCUCUUUUGGUUAAUACCCAAGAUGAGUGGACGUUACUCGCAGAAUAAGCACCGGCUAACUCUGUGCCAGCCGCCGCGGUAA